GCUAUACAUGCAAGUCGAGCGGAUCUUCAUUAGCUUGCUUUUGAAGAUCAGCGGCGGACGGGUGAGUAACACGUGGGCAACCUGCCUGUAAGACUGGGAUAACUUCGGGAAACCGGAGCUAAUACCGGAUAAUCCUUUUCCUCUCAUGAGGAAAAGCUGAAAGACGGUUUCGGCUGUCACUUACAGAUGGGCCCGCGGCGCAUUAGCUAGUUGGUGAGGUAACGGCUCACCAAGGCGACGAUGCGUAGCCGACCUGAGAGGGUGAUCGGCCACACUGGGACUGAGACACGGCCCAGACUCCUACGGGAGGCAGCAGUAGGGAAUCUUCCGCAAUGGACGAAAGUCUGACGGAGCAACGCCGCGUGAGCGAUGAAGGCCUUCGGGUCGUAAAGCUCUGUUGUCAGGGAAGAACAAGUAUCGGAGUAACUGCCGGUACCUUGACGGUACCUGACCAGAAAGCCACGGCUAACUACGUGCCAGCAGCCGCGGUAAUACGUAGGUGGCAAGCGUUGUCCGGAAUUAUUGGGCGUAAAGCGCGCGCAGGCGGUUCCUUAAGUCUGAUGUGAAAGCCCCCGGCUCAACCGGGGAGGGUCAUUGGAAACUGGGGAACUUGAGUGCAGAAGAGGAGAGCGGAAUUCCACGUGUAGCGGUGAAAUGCGUAGAGAUGUGGAGGAACACCAGUGGCGAAGGCGGCUCUCUGGUCUGUAACUGACGCUGAGGCGCGAAAGCGUGGGGAGCGAACAGGAUUAGAUACCCUGGUAGUCCACGCCGUAAACGAUGAGUGCUAAGUGUUAGAGGGUUUCCGCCCUUUAGUGCUGCAGCAAACGCAUUAAGCACUCCCGCCCUGGGGAGUACGGCCGCAAGGCUGAUACCCAGAGUCAUUUAGCAGGUGGG
rnacentral:rRNA from 1 species